rnacentral:lncRNA from 1 species
AAAAUGUAAAAUCUAGUGACUGUUGGUUUUGAAUUUUUUAUUUAGGUCGUCAAUUUUUUACUAAAAAUAGGCAAAAAUUGCCAAUUUCCAGAAAACAAAACUAUCAAGUUUACAACUCCGUAACUCAGCCACAAU